CCUACGGGUGGCAGCAGUGAGGAAUAUUGGUCAAUGGGCGGAAGCCUGAACCAGCCAAGUCGCGUGAGGGAAUAAGGCUCUACGGGUCGUAAACCUCUUUUGCCGGGGAGCAAGGGCCGGGACGAGUCCCGGUCCGGAGAGUACCCGGAGAAAAAGCAUCGGCUAACUCCGUGCCAGCAGCCGCGGUAAUACGGAGGAUGCGAGCGUUAGCCGGAUUUAUUGGGUUUAAAGGGUGCGUAGGCGGGCUUUUAAGUCAGCGGUAAAAAUUCGGGGCUCAACACGGUCCGGCCGUUGAAACUGGGUGCCUUGAGUGGGCGAGAAGAAGGCGGAAUGCGUGGUGUAGCGGUGAAAUGCAUAGAUAUCACGCAGAACCCCGAUUGCGAAGGCAGCCUUCCGGCGCCCUACUGACGCUGAGGCACGAAAGUGCGGGGAUCGAACAGGAUUAGAUACCCUAGUAGUC
rnacentral:rRNA from 1 species